rnacentral:rRNA from 1 species
CUACGGGUGGCAGCAGUGGGGAAUUUUGCGCAAUGGGGGAAACCCUGACGCAGCAAUACCGCGUGAGUGAAGAAGGCCUUUGGGUCGUAAAGCUCUUUUCUUGGGGAAGAUAGUGACGGUACCCAAGGAAUAAGCACCGGCUAACUCCGUGCCAGCAGCCGCGGUAAUACGGAGGGUGCAAGCGUUGUUCGGAUUUACUGGGCGUAAAGGGCACGUAGGCGGCACAGCAAGUUAAGGGUGAAAUCCCGGGGCUCAACUCCGGAACUGCUCUUAAAACUGGUGAGCUAGAGAUAGUCAGAGGCGGGUGGAAUUCCAGGUGUAGAGGUGAAAUUCGUAGAUAUCUAGAGGAACACCGGUGGCGAAGGCGGCCCGCUGGGGCUAUUCUGACGCUAAGGUGCGAAAGCGUGGGGAGCAAACGGGAUUAGAUACCCCUGUAGUC